UGGAGUUGCCGAGUACGUCCAUGGCAACCAGUAAGGUGUUCGUCAGUGGCCUAGAUGGUAUGACCUUAGGUGAGGAGGUCUGCUGUGUGGAAAUCGCCUUCUUGGUCUGACUCUUGCUGCCAAGGUACCCCUUAUUACGGCUGUUUGCCUUCCUCUCAGCUCCGAUGCACUUUGAGUGAAUCCUUAACCUCAGCCUGAUAUGUUGAAAGGAUUUUUUUUUCAGCUCAUGGCAUGAGGGAAGGUUGCUGUCCAAACUCAUGGCCUCUCUUUCCAGCUGUUCCACUACGUUGGAGGAUUCCAUAAGGGAAUCACUCGUCUUGGAACGGAAGAGCUGCUCCACGUGCUGCAGGAGAGUGAACAGCUCAUCGCAUGGCCGGUGGUAGAGGACACAAGACUCGGUCUUUGUGAGGUCAGGUGGUGAUGGGUCUACCAGCUGCUCCACUCUCACAACCUCAGAAGCACUGCAGUUGCUGUUCUUGUUGUCCAAGAAGUCCGCCAAGUGGUCUGAUGCAUCAUCCAGGUAACUGCCAGUAUGCGUUGUCGAGAGGAACUGCCCUACAGUGGCAGCCCAUAGUGCAUAGUGGAACUCCACAGGUGUCGGGACUGAGUUCCUCUGACGUAUGCAAGAAAAAGUAUUUUUGUAGGCAGUCCAGAAUGAACUGGCUUGAAUGAACAUAUUUGUGCCCCUGUCUCAACAGAUCUUGCUGGACCAGCAGUAUCGUUGUUGUGGCCAUCACAGGUUUCAGUGGAGCGCCCCCCCCCCCCCC